UGACAUGAGGGUGAUCUGCUGACCACACUGACAACAUCUAUCACCCCAUUAAUCCCCAAGGUUGAUUCCACUCACCUGGCCGGCUAGGCAGGUGUCCCUUUCUCCUUCACUCCUCCACGUGUGACUCUCCCAAAUGUGUGUGCUUGGUCCAACAGCAUGACCUUCUCCAAACAGAGGAGGACCAUACUUUUGUCUGGAAUAUAAAAGCAGCUGAGCUACCCUGCUAGAAACUCCACAUAUACUCUCAAGGUCCGAGAAGGAGAAAUCGGGUCAUGGCAAAGAAAGACUGGACCAAAGCGAGACU
rnacentral:snRNA from 1 species